CGCAAUCCCAACACGACACCGUUUCACCGACAAUUCAUGGACUUCCAUCGCCAUCCCCAAACCUCAUCUCAGAGCUCCACGAAUCAUUUGCAUGGCGGCGCCGUAUUUGAUUACGAAGCUGGAAUCUGCAGAGAAGACACAGAAGGAAUUAUCGGUCAAGCUGGCUGAUCCAGAUGUCGUGUCGAAUCCCAGUGAGUACCAGAGGUUGGCACAAUCCGUGGCGGUCUCGAUGAG